CGCGGGGUGGAGCAGUUCGGUAGCUCGUCGGGCUCAUAACCCGGAGGUCGCUGGUUCAAAUCCGGCCCCCGCAACCA
rnacentral:tRNA from 1 species